UACGUAGGUGGCGAGCGUUGUCCGGAUUUACUGGGCGUAAAGGGAGCGUAGGCGGACUUUUAAGUGAGAUGUGAAAUACCCGGGCUCAACUUGGGUGCUGCAUUUCAAACUGGAAGUCUAGAGUGCAGGAGAGGAGAAUGGAAUUCCUAGUGUAGCGGUGAAAUGCGUAGAGAUUAGGAAGAACACCAGUGGCGAAGGCGGCUUUCUGGCAGACAACUGACGCUGAGGCGCGAAAGCGUGGGGAGCAAACAGGAUUAGAUACCCGGGUAGU
rnacentral:rRNA from 1 species